GAAGCUCGAGGAAGAGAAAAAACAACUGGAAGGAGAAAUCAUAGAUUUUUAUAAAAUGAAAGCUGCCUCUGAAGCACUGCAGACUCAGCUGAGCACCGAUACAAAGAAAGACAAACAUCUAACAAUUUGGACAAGACAGCAAAUGCUAUUGUCCAAGUUUUCUAAAGAAGAAUCUGAAGUGAAAUGACAUCAAGAGACCUAUCAAGACCUGUAUCCAGGAAAAGAGUCUUGCUCUUGUUGCCCAGGCUGGAGUGCAAUGGCGUGAUUUUGGCUCACUGUAAACUCCACCUCCUGGGUUCAAGCGAUUCUCCUGCCUCAGCCUCCCUAGUAGCUGGUAUUACAGGUGCCUGCCACCACACCCAGCUAAUUUUUGUAUUUUUAGUAGAGAUGGGGGUUUCACCAUGUUGGCCAGCCUGGUCCCGAACUCCUGACCUUAGGUGAUCCACCAGCAUCGGCCUCCCAAAGUGCUGGGAUUACAGGUGUGAGCCACUGCGUCCAGCCAGUGGUGGGUCUCAUAUCUCAAUGUGGACUUUUACUAACUCCCGAUGCCUCAUUUUCCUCAUCAGUUGAAAGGAAUGAAUGAAAGAUUUGUGUUUUUCAUAUUACCAGGUAGAUGAUAAGGAGAUUUU
ensembl:lncRNA novel transcript